UGUGCAGAUAGUCUGGAGCUGCUGUCACUGGAGGGCGGAACCACAGAUCAUCACUCACACCUGCGGAUCCUCUCCUGCAAUCAUCCAGGGGAUAAAAGGAGUUGGCUGUCAGUUCUCCAGUGCCUGAGUGUUUGCCUGCAAUGGCUUCCUCCACCACCUCCUGGUUCAUCUACCAGAGUUUCCCUGAGCCUUCUCGAGAACCCAAGAUCUCCUGGAGCAGUUCUGAGACUGACAGCUUCAAGGUCUUUGUCCCCGGUCCGCACGGUAAUCUGCCAUCGCUCCAUCUAUCUGGCUGCACUGCACUGACUUGUCUUUCACUCAACCACCCCCCCACUGGUGGACGCUCACUCACAACCCAAGUAAGAAGUUUUUAGGUUCCUCAUCAUUUCCUCAGUAUUUUUGUGUUGCACAUCAUAUUCUCCUCUGCCUUCAGUGAUUCCCUUUCCCCAGGUCUCCAGCCCCAGAAGGAGRUUCUCAAUUUAUUAGCUUUUUAUUUGUAAAAUAAACUUUUUUGAACUUG